UGCAUGCUGGUUUACCAGACUUGUAGAAUGUUGAGGACUGCUGCCUUCACAAUGGCCUAAUCCUUGUAAGAAUUUGCAUCUUCUGAGUAUUCACCCACUGCAAGAAAGGGAAGAAAACCUCCAUCAUGCCCAAGGCAAGCAAAAGCAGUCAGGGUCUGGUGUAAGGCAAACUUUCAACGAAGAGAGAUCCUGCUCACCUUCCUCACUGUUAUGAUCACAGUUACAGUGGCCACGCCCCUUGGGGAAAGGACACCUGCAUCAACCUCUCCACCCCAUCAGCUUGACUCCUUUGGGCUUAACCAGUGUUUCUCCUGGCCAAGGAUUACAGCAAAGGAUUCCCUGGGAGGAGAAACGCUCGUCAUUAGAAACCACAGACACAUUAGCCUGGAUUAGAUACCCAGAUAAGCCAGCAGUCAUCUGGCUGCGACAAACCGGGCCAGAGACAGAACAAACCCAUUUCACUGCCCAAAGAGGGCCCAGAAAGGGGAGAUCUUCCUCCCAAAGAGACUUCGGAAAUGCCCUUAGUUGCCCUCCUUCCCCACCUGGCUGGCUGUCUGGGCUCCUAGGCCCUGAUACUAAUAAUACCAGUCUCCCUGCUCACUCCAGUGUUGAGCGGGUCAAGGUGACACCUAUCCACCCUCCCUAUCUCCCUCUUCUCAACAUCUCUGGCUUCCAGUAGGGGGAGGAGGCAACCCUAACCACAAGUAUCAGAGGGGCACAACCUGAUGAGUAUCUGCGGGCAAACGGGUAGUUUCUGUCGCAGGCGGAAGGAAGUGCCAUGAGACAAUCGACCUGCAUGUUCUUAGAGAUACCUCCUUGCCUCGCCCAGGCUCUCGGGGGCAAGUCAUGGGCUCCUCCGGAAAGAACCACAGAGCAGUUUAACUGGGCGGGGGCAGAAGCAGGAAGCCCGUUGAUGAUGAAUGAAGGGCUAUUUCUACUGGGCAAGAAACCCUGUGUUGCACCCUCCUUCCUUCCUUUCCUGGCUAGAGAGAGCGGAGUUCAAAACUCCUUCCUCUGGGCCAACUUAGCAGUUCAAGUUCAACCCUUGUAUGGACGCUGCAUGUUUCACUCUAGGGUGUUAACCUACCAUUCUAGGACCAUAAAAAUCCCGUGCUUGGGGCUGGGCAUUGUGACCGAAUCAACCACUUCGGUGCCUCCUUGAAGCAUUGUGAUUCUAAGGUUGGGGACCUUCUCAACAUGCUUAAAAGAGGGAGGGUGUGGAACAGAGGAGUUAAGAGCCCAGAUUGCCUGGGUUUAAAUCCUGCCUCUGCCAUUUUUAACUGUGAACCUUGGAAAAGUCGCUGAAACUCCCUGUGCCUCAGUUUCCUCUGCAGCGUGAGGUUGAAAUGAGUUAAUGUUUGUAAAACACCCAGAACAGGGCCUAGUUACAUUAAGCACCAUGACUGUUGUCACAACUGUCACAACUGUAACACAAUUCGCUGAAGGAAUAAAUGAGUUAAUACAGAAGAAGCACUUAAAACAGUGCCUGGUACCUUA